rnacentral:rRNA from 1 species
GACGAACGCUGCCUGCGUGCUUAACACAUGCAAGUCGAACGAUGAAGCCUAGCUUGCUAGGUGGAUUAGUGGCGAACGGGUGAGUAAUACGUGAGUAACCUACCUUUAACUCUGGGAUAAGCCUGGGAAACUGGGUCUAAUACCGGAUACGACCAAUCUCCGCAUGGGGUGUUGGUGGAAAGCGUUAUGUAGUGGUUAUAGAUGGGCUCACGGCCUAUCAGCUUGUUGGUGAGGUAACGGCUCACCAAGGCGACGACGGGUAGCUGGCCUGAGAGGGUGACCGGCCACACUGGGACUGAGACACGGCCCAGACUCCUACGGGAGGCAGCAGUGGGGAAUAUUGCACAAUGGGCGCAAGCCUGAUGCAGCGACGCCGCGUGAGGGAUGACGGCCUUCGGGUUGUAAACCUCUGUUAGCAGGGAAGAAGAGAGAUUGACGGUACCUGCAGAGAAAGCGCCGGCUAACUACGUGCCAGCAGCCGCGGUAAUACGUAGGGCGCGAGCGUUGUCUCGAAUUAUUGGGCGUAAAGAGCUUGUAGGCGGUUUGUCGCGUCUGCUGUGAAGGCCGGAGCUUAACUCCGUGUAUUGCAGUGGGUACGGGCAGACUAGAGUGCAGUAGGGGAGACUGGAAUUUCUGGUGUAGCGGUGGAAUGCGCAGAUAUCAGGAGGAACACCGAUGGCGAAGGCGGGUCUCUGGGCUGUAACUGACGCUGAGAAGCGAAAGCAUGGGGAGCGAACAGGAUUAGAUACCCUGGUAGUCCAUGCCGUAAACGUUGGGCACUAGGUGUGGGGGACAUUCCACGUUUUCCGCGCCGUAGCUAACGCAUUAAGUGCCCCGCCUGGGGAGUACGGCCGCAAGGCUAAAACUCAAAGAAAUUGACGGGGGCCCGCACAAGCGGCGGAGCAUGCGGAUUAAUUCGAUGCAACGCGAAGAACCUUACCAAGGCUUGACAUAUACUGGACCGCAUCAGAGAUGGUGUUUCCCUUCGGGGCUGGUAUACAGGUGGUGCAUGGUUGUCGUCAGCUCGUGUCGUGAGAUGUUGGGUUAAGUCCCGCAACGAGCGCAACCCUCGUUCUAUGUUGCCAGCACGUUAUGGUGGGGACUCAUAGGAGACUGCCGGGGUCAACUCGGAGGAAGGUGGGGAUGACGUCAAAUCAUCAUGCCCCUUAUGUCUUGGGCUUCACGCAUGCUACAAUGGCCGGUACAGAGGGUUGCGAUACUGUGAGGUGGAGCUAAUCCCUAAAAGCCGGUCUCAGUUCGGAUUGGGGUCUGCAACUCGACCCCAUGAAGUCGGAGUCGCUAGUAAUCGCAGAUCAGCAACGCUGCGGUGAAUACGUUCCCGGGCCU